rnacentral:rRNA from 1 species
GGAUGAACGCUGGCGGCGUGCUUAACACAUGCAAGUCGAACGAACCUUCGGGUUAGUGGCGGACGGGUGAGUAACGCGUGAGAAUCUGCCCUCAGGAGGGGGAUAACGGCUGGAAACGGCCGCUAAUACCCCAUAUGCCGAGAGGUGAAAUGAAUUUCGCCUGAGGAUGAGCUCGCGUCUGAUUAGCUUGUUGGUGGGGUAAUGGCCUACCAAGGCGACGAUCAGUAGCUGGUCUGAGAGGAUGAUCAGCCACACUGGGACUGAGACACGGCCCAGACUCCUACGGGAGGCAGCAGUGGGGAAUUUUCCGCAAUGGGCGAAAGCCUGACGGAGCAACGCCGCGUGAGGGAUGAAGGCCUCUGGGCUGUAAACCUCUUUUAUCAAGGAAGAAGAUCUGACGGUACUUGAUGAAUAAGCCACGGCUAAUUCCGUGCCAGCAGCCGCGGUAAUACGGGAGUGGCAAGCGUUAUCCGGAAUUAUUGGGCGUAAAGCGUCCGCAGGCGGCCUGACAAGUCUGCUGUUAAAGCGUGGAGCUUAACUCCAUUUCAGCAGUGGAAACUGUCAGGCUUGAGUGUGGUAGGGGCAGAGGGAAUUCCCGGUGUAGCGGUGAAAAUGCAUAGAUAUCGGGAAGAACACCAGUGGCGAAAGCGCUCUGCUGGGCCAUCACUGACGCUCAUGGGACGAAAGCCAGGGGAGCGAAAGGGAUUAGAUACCCCUGUAGUCCUGGCCGUAAACGAUGAACACUAGGUGUCGGGGGAAUCGACCCCUCCGGUGUCGUAGCCAACGCGUUAAGUGUUCCGCCUGGGGAGUACGCACGCAAGUGUGAAACUCAAAGGAAUUGACGGGGGCCCGCACAAGCGGUGGAGUAUGUGGUUUAAUUCGAUGCAACGCGAAGAACCUUACCAGGGCUUGACAUCCUGCGAACCUCUGGGAAACCGGAGGGUGCCUUCGGGAACGCAGUGACAGGUGGUGCAUGGCUGUCGUCAGCUCGUGUCGUGAGAUGUUGGGUUAAGUCCUGCAACGAGCGCAACCCACGUCUUUAGUUGCCAGCAUUUAGUUGGGCACUCUAGAGAGACCGCCGGUGACAAACCGGAGGAAGGUGUGGAUGACGUCAAGUCAUCAUGCCCCUUACGUCCUGGGCUACACACGUACUACAAUGCUACGGACAAAGAGCAGCUAACUCGCGAGAGUACGCAAAUCUCAUAAACCGUGGCUCAGUUCAGAUCGUAGGCUGCAACUCGCCUACGUGAAGGAGGAAUCGCUAGUAAUCGCAGGUCAGCAUACUGCGGUGAAUACGUUCCCGGGCCUUGUACACACCGCCCGUCACACCAUGGAAGUUGGCCACGCCCGAAGUCGUUACUCCAACCCUCUGGGAGGAGGACGCCGAAGGUGGGGCUGAUGACUGGGGU